rnacentral:rRNA from 1 species
GACGAACGCUGGCGGCGUGCCUAAUACAUGCAAGUCGAACGCAGUGGGGACGGGUGAGUAACACGUGGGUAACCUCCCAUCAGAGGGGAUAACACUUGGAAACAGGUGCUAAACCGAUACUGAUGGAUGGACCCGCUGUGCAUUAGCUAGUUGGUGAGGUAACGGCUCACCAGGGCCACGAUGCAUAGCCGCCCUGAGAGGGUGAUCGCCCACACGGGGACGGAGACACGGCCCAGACUCCUACGGGAGGCAUCAGUAGGGAAUCUUCGGCAAUGGGCGAAAGUCUGACCGAGCAACGCGGCGUGAGUGACGAUGGUUUUCGGAUCGUAAGACUCUGUUGUUAGAGAAGCGGUAUCUAACCAGAAAGCCACGGCUAACUACGUGCCAGCAGCCGCGGUAAUUC